UUGCAUAAUAUCAGGAGUGAGAUUUGGAGAUUCCAGACAUUCAGAUUUGUGUGGAUUUGAAGACGUCUCCGGUGUGUCGGUGCGGUCAGGAUGUACGGGCUGCUGUGUGAAAGUCUUCAUGACUUCAUUAAGUAGUCGUACGGUGAUGACGUGUGGAAACGUGUCAGAGAGAGAGCCGACGUCAGACUGAAAGACAAAUGCAUUUUUUAAACAUCCAAACUCACAUACAAGAAACAGGCAUUUCAUUUAUAAAAAGUGUUCAUUUAUAACUAAUUCCUUAAAUUAAAUCUAAAAUUAUCAAGUAGAAUGGGAUCACUGUUGCACAAAUAAACAAAUAGUUAUUGUUUCAGAUAAUAAAUGCCUUCACUUGAGGGAUCACCCAUAAUUAUAUUUUCCUAGGUCAAAUGCCAUAUAUUUUUUUUUUUUUUACAAAUAUUUUGCUAUUAAAUUAGUCUACAUUGUCUUUCUUCUCUCUCUCUCUCUCUCUCUCUCUCUCUCUCUCUCUCUCUAUAUAUAUAUAUAGACUAGGAGAAACUGAAUAAAAUGUAACAAUCCACAGGAAAAGUGAUUCACACAUGAUUCAAUUACCUGAAUUUCUAAUAAUAAUUCCUAAUAAAGUCACAGUAGUCCAGUGUUCAGCUGAUGUUCUGUGUUGUUGAUGUGUCUCUGUGUGUUUGGCCAGGAGCAAACGUAAAGGUUGCCUGCACUACGCCAUGGGUCAGCUCAGACAGAUGGGAAAACAGUUCUACGACACUGACAUGCAUGUUGAGCAGCUGGUGGGAGAUUAUUCACACGUCACCAUGAGAUUAAACUUUGAUAACUCUGUGUACCGAUAUAUCCAGAAAGAAGAUGAAGAGGAAUCGUGUUCAGACAGGACAUGGUUGUGCAUAUCAUAGGCUCUGGAUUGGCAACCGUCUUUCCUGAUCUGGAUGGGAAGAAGAUCAAUGAUGCUUUUCUGCUUGUUCGUCGUCUUGUGGAGUUCACAUGGAAUAUGACUCUGAUUAUGAGAAUGCCAAUCUCUCAGCAGACGUGGAUGUGGAGCUGAUGGCCUUUCAGUCAAUUAUAGGGGUUGAUUAUAAAGAUGGAAACAGAGCUAAUGCAAUGGAGAGCUGGGGUGAUGGUAGCCGCUGCCUGAAACUGAAGGGUCAGAUGAGAUACAUGCAUCUUCCUGGGUACUCCAGUGUAAGACACAAACACACACAUUUAUACAGUGUGGGUGUAAUUUCUGUUCAUUCAAGAAUUUUUGUGUAUGUAAAAUAAUGACAGUGCU
rnacentral:lncRNA from 1 species